UACAGAGGUCUCAAGCGUUGUUCGGAUUCAUUGGGCGUAAAGGGUGCGUAGGUGGCGGGGUAAGUCAGGUGUGAAAUUUCGGAGCUCAACUCCGAAACUGCAUUUGAUACUGCCUUGCUUGAGGACUGGAGAGGAGACUGGAAUUCACGGUGUAGCAGUGAAAUGCGUAGAUAUCGUGAGGAAGACCAGUGGCGAAGGCGGGUCUCUGGACAGUUCCUGACACUGAGGCACGAAGGCCAGGGGAGCAAACAGG
rnacentral:rRNA from 1 species